rnacentral:rRNA from 1 species
AUUGAACGCUGGCGGCAGGCUUAACACAUGCAAGUCGAGCGGAGAUGAGGUGCUUGCACCUUAUCUUAGCGGCGGACGGGUGAGUAAUGCUUAGGAAUCUGCCUAUUAGUGGGGGACAACAUUCCGAAAGGAAUGCUAAUACCGCAUACGCCCUACGGGGGAAAGCAGGGGAUCUUCGGACCUUGCGCUAAUAGAUGAGCCUAAGUCGGAUUAGCUAGUUGGUGGGGUAAAGGCCUACCAAAGCGACGAUCUGUAGCGGGUCUGAGAGGAUGAGCCGCCACACUGGGAGUGAGACACGGCCCAGACUCCUACGGGGGGCAGCAGUGGGGAAUAUGGGACGAUGGGCGGAAGCCUGAUCCAGCCAUGCCGCGUGUGUGAAGAAGGCCUUUUGGUUGUAAAGCACUUUAAGCGAGGAGGAGGCUACCUGGAUUAAUACUCUAGGAUAGUGGACGUUACUCGCAGAAUAAGCACCGGCUAACUCUGUGCCAGCAGCCGCAGUAAUAC